rnacentral:rRNA from 1 species
ACGUAGGGUGCGAGCGUUAAUCGGAAUUACUGGGCGUAAAGCGCGCGUAGGUGGCUUCGUAAGUCCGUUGUGAAAGUCAAAGGCUCAACCUUUGAAUGCCGAUGGAUACUGCGGAGCUAGAGUACGGAAGAGGCGAGUGGAAUUCCUGGUGUAGCGGUGGAAUGCGCAGAUAUCAGGAGGAACACCAAUAGCGAAGGCAGCUCGCUGGGACGUUACUGACACUAAGGCGCGAAAGCGUGGGGAGCGAACAGGA